AGGCGAAUACAUGAACUCCUUUAUUCAAAUGUUUGCAGUUUUACAUAAAUGAAUAGUGGAAUACAUUCUUUCUAUGGGUACUAAAAAAUAGCAACAUGUACUGCUACUACAAAAAACCUAAAGUCAUGGUUACUGCUCCCGUGACUUCUUAAAUACAAGUUAAGACAAUAUUACUCAACCAUAAAUACAACUAAAAUUGGACAGUCUUAGUGUAAAAUAGUAAAAAUUUCCAUUCAAUACCCCCCCUAUUCUUGGCUGCAUAAUCAUAUGAAGCACCUAUAACAUGCCUCCUAAUACUUUCAAUGAUCAUUAUCAAUUCCAACCUUUCUUUGAUCGUAAUCCCUUUUCACCGUAUUGCUCCAAUGUAAAACCUGCUACACAAACUUAAUCAAUAGUUGAACAAAAACAUAAUAUAGACCAAAAAAUACAUCAAUCAAAGAUGGCAUGCUACCACAAACCAAAUUAUAACUACAUUUCAGUUUUCAAACCCAAUUGAAGUAAGUUCCCCAAUAAUUGAUGCAUUUGCUCAUGACUGGAAUGUUCAUUAGUUAAAUCAUAUAUCAUAUUUUAAGCAAGAACACCUUCUACUAUUUAUACUACUAGUUAUGCCUAACUCCAUUCACAAGAUGUAACUAGAGGACUGCGAAAUAUUGCAUGAACAUUGCACCAGCAGUAAGCCAACAAAACUACAAAAGAAAACCAUAAGUCUUAAAAAAUCAAAACAACUACUACUAUCAUAAACCAACAACACCUGCUAGGAUACAGACCUUACUGCUACAAGCCUCAAAACCAGCACCCGAACAGACAAUAAACAAACAAAAGUCCUAGGUACAAAUAACAGAACCAAAACAAUGAAAAGAAAAAAUGAAAUAUCAGCGAAAACAGAGCCAACCAAAGGGAAAAACUAGAAAGAAAAAACCAGAAAAAAUCAAAACACUAAGGAGUAUUAGAAUUACAAAUAAUCAUAGAUGCAACAUGAGCAAGAGGAUCAAAGAUUAGUAAACACAAACCUUAACAAAUCAAUAGCUUCAUUCACAUUGAUAUUUGCAUAAUCUGCAUAAUAACCACAACUUCAGUACCUUCAUAAUCUGCACAACACAAUCCGAAUUUUGCACAACCAGAAUCAGACCCUGCAUACACAUCUUAAACAAUUUCGCACAACAAAAUCAGCAUUUAUGCAGAAAAUUCUGCAUAAAAAACAGACCCUGCACACGAUUCCAAUCAUAUGUUUAAUAUACAAUUUCAAAUCGUAAAUUAACCAGGGUUGGUUUAGGAGGUGAAAAUAUCAUAUUGGAAAUGGUUAGAUAGCUCAAAAGCACCUUUUUGCUUGUUCUAUGAAUCGAAUCCGUGCUUGAAUAGGUGAUCGUGCAUGACUUGUUGUGCUUGGCUCACUAUUAAAACUAGGAAACCAAAGCAUGAGCCAAAUCAAUACAUGUAUUAAAACUAGGAAACCAAACACAACUUCUGCGAGAAAAAUUAAUACAAAAUGAAUCAAGGAUUGAACAUCAAAUGCAAAUCAAUACUCGAUAACAUUGGCAUAAUAACGAUGGCGGAAUA
rnacentral:lncRNA from 1 species